UGUAAAUUUUCUCUUUGUUCAAUCUUUUAAUAUACAGUGCCAACAACUUUCAGUUUGUGCUUCAAUCGUUCAAUAGAUUUCAAUUAACCAAAUUUCAAAGACAUUAGCCCAAGAUAGACCUGCGUAAGGCCGAGGUCAUCGAGACAAAAUGAAACCGACUCACAAGCCGGUGGUGAGGUUGGAGUCCUUGACCUCCAGGACGAGCCAUCUGCCCAGCUGAUAAAAUAACUCAAGGCUUGAUGCCCGAGGCAUCAUGAGGUCGGGCCCAAAAUUUAUAGUACCAUCAAUUACUAUUGUAUUUCACAACUCUUUUUAUGACUCAUGAGUAGUUACAUCAA